rnacentral:rRNA from 1 species
GAACCCUGAUGGCAGCGCCGCCGCGUGAACGGAAGAAGGUCUUCGGAUCGUAAACUUCUGUCGUCAGGGAAGAAGGUGCGGACGGUACCUGACUAGCACCCCGCCGCUAACUACCUGCCAACACCCGCGUAAAUUCGUGCCAGCAGCCGCGGUAAUAA